rnacentral:tRNA from 1 species
GAGAAUAGCUCAAUUGGUAGAGCAACGGUCUCCAAAACCGUAGGCUGGGGGUUCGAGUCCCUCUUCUCC